rnacentral:piRNA from 1 species
UAAUACCAGGGAGAAAUUUGCAGGA